rnacentral:rRNA from 1 species
UACGAAGGGGGCGAGCGUUGUUCGGAAUUACUGGGCGUAAAGGGCGCGCAGGCGGUCCUUCAAGUCAGAUGUGAAAGCCCCGGGCUCAACCUGGGAACAGCAUUUGAGACUGGAGGACUUGAGGACGGAGAGGAGAGUGGAAUUCCCAGUGUAGAGGUGAAAUUCGUGGAUAUUGGGAAGAACACCGAUGGCGAAGGCAGCCAUCUGGACCGACACUGACGCUGAGGCGCGAAAGCGUGGGGAGCAAACAGG